rnacentral:rRNA from 1 species
AUUGAACGCUGGCGGAAUGCUUUACACAUGCAGUCGAACGGUAGAGGGGGCAACCCCUUGAGAGUGGCGAACGGGUGAGUAAUAUAUCGGAACGUGCCCUAGAGUGGGGGAUAACGUAGCGAAAGUUACGCUAAUACCGCAUACGAUCUACGGAUGAAAGUGGGGGAUCGCAAGACCUCAUGCUCAUGGAGCGGCCGAUAUCUGAUUAGCUAGUUGGUAGGGUAAAAGCCUACCAAGGCUUCGAUCAGUAGCUGGUCUGAGAGGACGACCAGCCACACUGGGACUGAGACACGGCCCAGACUCCUACGGGAGGCAGCAGUGGGAAUUUUGGACAAGUGGGGGCAACCCUGAUCCAGCAAUGCCGCGUGAGUGAAGAAGGCCUUCGGGUUGUAAAGCUUCUUUUGUCAGGGAAGAAACGGUGGGGGCUAAUAUCCUCUGCUAAUGACGGUACCUGAAGAAUAAGCACCGGCUAACUACGUG